rnacentral:rRNA from 1 species
GACGAACGCUGGCGGCGUGCUUAACACAUGCAAGUCGAGCGGUAAGGCCCUUUCGGGGGUACACGAGCGGCGAACGGGUGAGUAACACGUGGGUGACCUGCCCUCAGCUCUGGGAUAAGCCUGGGAAACCGGGUCUAAUACCGGAUAUGACUCCAUGACGCAUGUUGUGGGGUGGAAAGCCUUGUGCGGCUGAGGAUGGGCCCGCGGCCUAUCAGCUUGUUGGUGGGGUGAUGGCCUACCAAGGCGACGACGGGUAGCCGGCCUGAGAGGGCGACCGGCCACACUGGGACUGAGACACGGCCCAGACUCCUACGGGAGGCAGCAGUGGGGAAUCUUGCGCAAUGGGCGAAAGCCUGACGCAGCGACGCCGCGUGAGGGAUGACGGCCUGGUGUAA